UCCAAGCAGGAUCAGGCUCUAACCCUGGAGCCAACUUUGUUAAUCCUGCUAUUCCUGAUUUCGAUGAGACGGCUGGAAAGGAAAAAAUGAAUGAUGAAUUGCCAAAACAGCUAGAGGAAAAGUACAAAUGACUGGAAGAGAAAUUUAGAGCAAUGGAAUGUGCAGAAGGCUACUAUGGGAUGGAUGCUAAAGAAUUGAGUUUGGUUCCG
rnacentral:lncRNA from 1 species